rnacentral:rRNA from 1 species
UGGGGAAUUUUGGACAAUGGGCGAAAGCCUGAUCCAGCAAUGCCGCGUGUGUGAAGAAGGCCUUCGGGUUGUAAAGCACUUUUGUCCGGAAAGAAAUCCUUGGCUCUAAUACAGUCGGGGGAUGACGGUACCGGAAGAAUAAGCACCGGCUAACUACGUGCCAGCAGCCGCGGUAAUACGUAGGGUGCAAGCGUUAAUCGGAAUUACUGGGCGUAAAGCGUACGCAGGCGGUUUGCUAAGACCGAUGUGAAAUCCCCGGGCUCAACCUGGGAACUGCAUUGGUGACUGGCAGGCUAGAGUAUGGCAGAGGGGGGUAGAAUUCCACGUGUAGCAGUGAAAUGCGUAGAGAUGUGGAGGAAUACCGAUGGCGAAGGCAGCCCCCUGGGCCAAUACUGACGCUCAUGCACGAAAGCGUGGGGAGCAAACAGGAUUAGAUACCCUGGUAGUCCACGCCCUAAACGAUGUCAACUAGUUGUUGGGGAUUCAUUCCUUAGUAACGUAGCUAACGCGUGAAGUUGACCGCCUGGGGAGUACGGUCGCAAGAUUAAAACUCAAAUGAAUUGACGGGGUCAUAGCUGUUUCCU